GACGAACGCUGGCGGCGUGCUUAACACAUGCAAGUCGAACGGUGAAAGGGAGCUUGCUCCCUGGAUCAGUGGCGAACGGGUGAGUAACACGUGGGCAACCUGCCCCAGACUUCGGGAUAACGCUUCGAAAGAGGUGCUAAUACCGGAUACGAACUCCUUGGGCAUCCUUGGAGUUGGAAAGUUUUUCGGUCUGGGAUGGGCCCGCGGCCUAUCAGCUUGUUGGUGAGGUAACGGCUCACCAAGGCGACGACGGGUAGCCGGCCUGAGAGGGCGACCGGCCACACUGGGACUGAGACACGGCCCAGACUCCUACGGGAGGCAGCAGUGGGGAAUAUUGCGCAAUGGGCGAAAGCCUGACGCAGCAACGCCGCGUGAGGGAUGACGGCCUUCGGGUUGUAAACCUCUUUCAGCAGGGAAGAAGCGAAAGUGACGGUACCUGCAGAAGAAGCACCGGCUAACUACGUGCCAGCCGCCGCGGUAA
rnacentral:rRNA from 1 species